rnacentral:rRNA from 1 species
UGGGGGAUAUUGCACAAUGGGCGAAAGCCUGAUGCAGCGACGCCGCGUGGGGGAUGAAGGCCUUCGGGUUGUAAACUUCUUUUGCUCUGAACAAGGCGCACCAUGGGGUGUGUUGAGUGUAGGGGUUGAUUAGCGCCGGCUAACUACGUGCCAGCAGCCGCGGUAAUACGUAGGGCGCGAGCGUUGUCCGGAAUUAUUGGGCGUAAAGGGCUUGUAGGUGGCUGGUUGCGUCUGUCGUGAAAGCUCAUGGCUUAACUGUGGGUUUGCUGUGGGUACGGGCUGGCUUGAGUGCAGUAGGGGAGGCUGGAAUUCCUGGUGUAGCGGUGGAAUGCGCAGAUAUCAGGAGGAGUACCGGUGGCGAAGGCGGGUCUCUGGGCUGUUACUGACACUGAGGAGCGAAAGCAUGGGGAGCGAACAGG